rnacentral:rRNA from 1 species
UACGUAGGUGGCAAGCGUUGUCCGGAUUUAUUGGGCGUAAAGGGCGCGCAGGUGGUGUGCUAAGUCUGCCGUGAAAUCUCCCGGCUCAACUGGGAGGGUGCGGUGGAGACUGGUACGCUUGAGGUACCUAGAGGUCGGUGGAAUUCCCGGUGUAGUGGUGAAAUGCGUAGAGAUGGGAGGAACACCAGUGGCGGAAGGCGGCCCGGGCUGGGGGGUGAC